AUAAUCACAAAUGACUGAUUCCAAUAACUAUUAAGUCACUUUUCUGUUUCUCUUUGAUCAGUUUAAUUAAGUGAAUCAUUUAAUUAUUGAGUUGAAUCGGUAGUACUCCUUCUACGGCGGAAAUAAAGUAAAAAGCGUCAGUGGAAUAGAUGUAUUUUCACGAAUUAUCGAAUAAGCUCGCCCAUUACUAGGCAUCAGUCUUGUCAAUUUUUUGAUAUUUUGUCCGUUGUCCGUCAAGAAACAGGGUCGAUUGUAAUGGCUGUCUUUCGGUAAUUUUUCGCUGGUCUCAAAAAUAAAAUGUAAAUAAUCAGUGGUUUGUCAACACGAUAAUUCCUCGAUUUUCGAUAUUGGCUGAAAAACUAAUUAUAUUGGUGUAGUGAUUCGAAGGGGAAAACGGUUUCCGAUGUGGAAACAGUUGGAAAUGGGUCUGCGAGCAUUCCUGCUCAUAGCUUCCAGAAUAUGGACCUGCUUAUGUUUUACUCUGAGAAAACAAACUCGUGCGAUAAUUCAACAUCAGUCUGUAAAGUACGAUUUAUUUCCAUUAUCACCUUUAUCCAGACAUAGAUUAAGUAUAGUAAAAAGAAAAGUUCUGGUUCUUGAUCUAGACGAAACGCUUAUUCACUCACAUCACGACGGAGUAGUGAGGCAAACAGUAAGGCCAGGCGUACCUCCCGAUUUUAUCUUAAAAGUGACGAUUGACAGACAUCCAGUUCGGUUUUUUGUGCACAAACGGCCCCACGUAGAUUUUUUCCUUGAUAUAGUAUCUCAAUGGUAUGAACUGGUGGUAUUCACUGCUAGUAUGGAAAUAUACGGGGCCGCUGUUGCUGAUCGACUAGAUGCAGGGCGGGGUAUUCUGCAAAGACGCUUUUAUCGCCAACAUUGCACUCCCGACUUCGGAUCUUAUACCAAGGAUCUUAGUGCUAUUUGCAACGAUCUCUCCAGUGUAUUUAUCCUGGACAAUAGCCCUGGCGCGUACAAAGCGUAUCCCGAUAAUGCCAUUCCGAUUAAAUCGUGGUUUUCGGACCCGACGGACAUGGCAUUACUCAACCUACUUCCAGUCCUGGAUGCGCUUCGCUUCACAGCCGACGUUCGGUCUGUGCUAAAUCGGAACUUGCAUCUACACAGGCUCUGGUAGGACUCCAUAUACAAAUUCUUCACUGAGCUGAUCAGUGUAAUGUAAUAUGAAAAACAGUGGCACGGGCGGCAUGUCAAUGGGUUCUCCUAGAACGCGACUUGAUGCGGCUAACAUAAAACCGAAAACCGAUCUCGAGAGUUUAGCUGAAAGCUUGGUAACCCGUGUAGAGGAAAAUUCAUCAGACAAGCAAUUUAAUAGUGACAAUUCAAAUAGCAGCUCUAAGGACAAACGAUUCAAGUCCCGCAUUCCGCAACGGAUGUGCAAUUGACGGUAUCGAAAAUAGGAACAGGGAAUAAGAGGUGUCUCCGGAAGGGGGAUUGUUAAAAACAACCUGGUGUAAUUGUGAUCAGCAUCAGCCUAAUGGAGUGAGACUUUGUACAAUAAUCCGCAGGUUGAAAAAGAAUAGAACUAGCAAACGUAAUACUUAUUCUGUGGUCAAUAGCAACGUUUAUUUACAAAAAAAUAUAUUUCAAUAUGACGAACUUUCUGAAAAAAUAAUUGAAAUGUUGAAUUUUCCUAAAAUGAGACCCCUAACGGCACCUCGCCCAAAUCUUUCGGCUGCUCAUUAAACUGAGUGGAUAUGUGAAUAUUGUAUGUAGAUACAAUUAGAUAGUAAACGUAAAGUAAUCGGUACCUUGAUAUUUUUUAAGUUGAUUUAAGCAAAUUUGAUUGGCAGAUCAAAGCGAUACAAUACACAUUUUGGUAGAUAAUAGUUUUAGAAGAAUAAAAUGUAAGUAUCUAGAAAAUAUAAUGUUCUAAUUAAGCAAGCUGUA
rnacentral:misc_RNA from 1 species